GGGGGGACGCAGUAGGAUAGGCGAAGCGUGCGAUUGGAUUGCACGUCUAAGCAGUAAGGCUGAGUAUUAGGCAAAUCCGGUACUCGUUAAGGCUGAGCUGUGAUGGGGAGAAGACAUUGAGUCUUCGAGUCGUUGAUUUCACACUGCCGAGAAAAGCCUCUAGAUAGAAAAUAGGUGCCCGUACCGCAAACCGACACAGGUAGUCAAGAUGAGAAUUCUAAGGUGAGCGAGCGAACUCUCGUUAAGGAACUCGGCAAAAUGACCCCGUAACUUCGGGAGAAGGGGUGCUCUUUAGGGUUAACGCCCAGAAGAGCCGCAGUGAAUAGGCCCAAGCGACUGUUUAUCAAAAACACAGGUCUCUGCUAAACCGUAAGGUGAUGUAUAGGGGCUGACGCCUGCCCGGUGCUGGAAGGUUAAGAGGAGUGGUUAGCUUCUGCGAAGCUACGAAUCGAAGCCCCAGUAAACGGCGGCCGUAACUAUAACGGUCCUAAGGUAGCGAAAUUCCUUGUCGGGUAAGUUCCGACCCGCACGAAAGGCGUAACGAUUUGGGCACUGUCUCAACGAGAGACUCGGUGAAAUCAUAGUACCUGUGAAGAUGCAGGUUACCCGCGACAGGACGGAAAGACCCCGUGGAGCUUUACUGUAGCCUGAUAUUGAAAUUCGGCACAGCUUGUACAGGAUAGGUAGGAGCCUUUGAAACGUGAGCGCUAGCUUACGUGGAGGCGCUGGUGGGAUACUACCCUAGCUGUGUUGGCUUUCUAACCCGCACCACUUAUCGUGGUGGGAGACAGUGUCAAGCGGGCAGUUUGACUGGGGCGGUCGCCUCCUAAAAGGUAACGGAGGCGCUCAAAGGUUCCCUCAGAAUGGUUGGAAAUCAUUCAUAGAGUGUAAAGGCAUAAGGGAGCUUGACUGCGAGACCUACAAGUCGAGCAGGGUCGAAAGACGGACUUAGUGAUCCGGUGGUUCCGCAUGGAAGGGCCAUCGCUCAACGGAUAAAAGCUACCCCGGGGAUAACAGGCUUAUCUCCCCCAAGAGUUCACAUCGACGGGGAGGUUUGGCACCUCGAUGUCGGCUCAUCGCAUCCUGGGGCUGUAGUCGGUCCCAAGGGUUGGGCUGUUCGCCCAUUAAAGCGGUACGCGAGCUGGGUUCAGAACGUCGUGAGACAGUUCGGUCCCUAUCCGUCGUGGGCGUAGGAAAUUUGAGAGGAGCUGUCCUUAGUACGAGAGGACCGGGAUGGACAUACCUCUGGUGUACCAGUUGUCGUGCCAACGGCAUAGCUGGGUAGCUAUGUGUGGACGGGAUAAGUGCUGAAAGCAUCUAAGCAUGAAGCCCCCCUCAAGAUGAGAUUUCCCAACUUCGGUUAUAAGAUCCCUCAAAGAUGAUGAGGUUAAUAGGUUCGAGGUGGAAGCAUGGUGACAUGUGGAGCUGACGAAUACUAAUCGAUCGAAGACUUAAUCAAAA
rnacentral:rRNA from 1 species